CAGCCGUAAACUAUGCGCGUUAGGUGUACUGGUGACCACGAGUCACCGGGGUGCCGAAGGGAAACCGUGAAACGUGCCGCCUGGGAAGUACGGUCGCAAGGCUGAAACUUAAAGGAAUUGGCGGGGGGAGCACCACAACGGGUGGGAGCCUGCGGGUUUAAUUGGACUCAACGCCGGAAAUCUCACCGGAUAGGACAGACAUAUGAUAGUCGGGCUGAAGACUCUACUUGAUGAUCUGAGAGGUGGUGCAUGGCGUCAGUGACUGU
rnacentral:rRNA from 1 species